AUCUGUAAAUACAUCACAUGGUCAGUUUAUAAAGGGCAUUGCAAAAGAAAUGAAAUGAUGAAGAGGACGGACAGUAUUUGCCUUGGGGGCUUACAUGAAGAGGUAGAGAGUGUAAUUCAGCCAAGGAUGACUUGCCGGCAGCACGGGAUCUCAGAGCUUAAUAACUAGAAGAUCAAGGCUGUCAUUACUUUUCCGGCCGGCAAGUUGCCCUUGGCUACAUUGUACUCUCUUCUUCUCAUGUAAGGCCUACUUGGCAGCAAGAGCAAGAAGAAGAAGCUAGUCCAGAACGGCGCCUGGCUUGAAGACGAUUAAGAAGGGAUUCAAGUCAUGUUAAUUAAACCUUUGUGCUUAUCACAGCCAGCAACAUCAUUGACAAGGAUAUGUGUGUGACAAAAUCACAUAAAAAGGGGAGAAAAUCUAUGCAUUAAUGCAUUAUUUCUAUCAUGCAAAACUUUACGUACCUUUUUCUCAUGUGGCUGUCCAUUUUCCUUCGCAUCAUCAUCGUCAUCUUGUAGAGGAUCUAAGGCUCCCAAAAGUACUGUGUAUCCUGAAAGAGGACAGGAAAGAAAUCCAGCAAGGGAUCAAAUCAUCAAAAAGUGCUAAAGCUGUAGGUGUAGAACAUGAUAGCCAACAUGCAUGAUGAGAUUGCUUUAAUGGCAGGGAAUGAGAGAAAAAAUGAGUGUACUGGGUUACGGCCUAUGGGGCCAUCCUGCAUCCUCAAGGUAAUGGGAAAUAAUUGCAGUUAUGUACGAUUUAUUUCGUUAGUAAUUUCCUAGCUAGCUAGUACCUAUCUCAUUAGAUAGGUAGUUGCAUUCGAAGAUAGCUACUUCAGAAAAGACGUGGCUGAAUUAUUAUAUGUAGUUGGUGACUGGGCAAAUGCCAUUGAUAAUUGAAGCUGAUGGUAAGUUAACUUCAUAUGUAUCUUAAUUUUUUUUAAUGUGUUUUACUAAAAAAAAGAAAAGAAAAGAAGAGUGAAAUGUACUGAAUGUUUAAUUCUUUUUGUGCAUAAAUUUAGUUAGUUCCCACUGAUCAA